UAUUGGAGUCCUGAAUCUUCGGCAAACAACAGUUCUCUAACAAGGACUGUAGAAAUUUUGGUUUUAGACUUCAGUCUUGAAAGGUUGAAGAGUUUUCCUGUUCAAGAACGUGUGUGCAGAAACUUGCAAUAUUGACUGCUUGAACGGCGGAGUCUGUGUCCCGGAUUACGGAAUCGAGAACUGUCAGUGUAUGCCUGGUUUUGUUGGACCAACUUGCAAUAUAUCACAAAACCAAUGUGAUUUCGAGGAUCCACACAUCUGUUACUUUGUACAAGAUAAAUAUGAUGAUUUUGAUUGGAUAAGAACAUCUGGCUCAACACCCACAUUUGGUACUGGCCCUAAGUAUGACCACACCUACG